AGUGAACGCUGGCGGCAUGCCUAAUACAUGCAAGUCGAGCGACCGCACGGGAAGCUUUCUCCCCUGACGUUGGCGACGGACGGAUGAGUGAGACAUACAUAACCUACCUCUAAUACUUGGGUAACUUCGUGGGACCACAGCUACUACCAGCUCAUAUAUCCAACGGCAUGGUUCAAUAGUUAUUGAGGCUUUGGCUGUCACUUAUAGCUGGAUCCGCGCCGGAUUAGCUAGUUGGUAAGGUAACGGCCUACCAAGGCAACGAUGCGUAGCUGACCUGAGAGGGUGAUCAGCCACACUGGAACUGAGACACGGUCCAGACUCCUACGGGAGGCAGCAGUAGGGAAUCUUGCGCAAUGGGCGCAAGCCUGACGGAGCAACGCCGCGUGAGUGAUGAAGGUCUUCGGAUUGUAAAACUCUGUUAUUAGGGAAGAAAAAAAGUGUAAGUAACUAUGCCCGUUUUGACGGUACCUAAUCAGAAAGCAACGGCUAACUACGUG
rnacentral:rRNA from 1 species